rnacentral:rRNA from 1 species
UACGAAGGGUGCAAGCGUUGUUCGGAUUUACUGGGCGUAAAGCGUCCGUAGGUGGUUUGUUAAGUCAGGGGUGAAAUCCCAGGGCCCAACCCUGGAACUGCCUUUGAUACUGGCAAGCUGGAGCGCGAUAGAGGAAGAUGGAAUAUCUGGUGUAGGGGUGAAAUCCGUAGAUAUCAGAUGGAACACCAAUGGCGAAGGCAGUCUUCUGGAUCGUCGCUGACACUGAGGGACGAAAGCGUGGGUAGCAAACAGA